UACAGAGGUCUCAAGCGUUGUUCGGAUUCAUUGGGCGUAAAGGGUGUGUAGGCGGCUUUGCAAGUCGGGUGUGAAAUCCCCAGGCUUAACCUGGGAACUGCAUUCGAGACUGCAUUGCUAGAGUAUGGGAGAGGGAAGUGGAAUUUCCGGUGUAGCGGUGAAAUGCGUAGAUAUCGGAAGGAACAUCAGUGGCGAAAGCGACUUCCUGGACCAAUACUGACGCUCAUGUGCGAAAGCGUGGGGAGCAAACAGG
rnacentral:rRNA from 1 species